rnacentral:rRNA from 1 species
UACGUAGGGAGCAAGCGUUGUCCGGAAUCAUUGGGCGUAAAGCGCGCGUAGGUGGCCUCAUAAGUCCGCUGUGAAAGUCAAAGGCUCAACCUUUGAAAGCCGGUGGAUACUGUGAGGCUAGAGUACGGAAGAGGCGAGUGGAAUUCCUGGUGUAGCGGUGGAAUGCGCAGAUAUCAGGAGGAACACCAAUGGCGAAGGCAGAUCUCUGGGCCGUAACUGACGCUGAGGAGCGAAAGCAUGGGGAGCGAACAGG